AAUAUGUUUUUCCCAUUUUUAUAGUCUAUAUAUUUCUGUUUUCUCAUACCUGAGAAUUAUGACCCAUGUACAUUUCAAAAAUUACUAAAACUGUGAAAUGUUUCAUUUCAAUGUUUCAUUUUUAUUUUCAUAUAUUGAUUGCUUUUGUCAGCAAAUCUAGCAGCUGUGGAUGGGACACCCUUGGCAUCUCAGGUUCAAAAUUAAUACUUGCCAAGCACCCAAAAACAAAAAAAACGCUGUUGACUAGUACCUAUAUGAAACAGUGUUACUCGCCAGUUUUGAUAAAUGUGAAAUUGCAAAGGAACAAAUUUCAUGGGUCCUGUUCCAGUGACAAUCUGUGGUGUUUUAUAUUUCUAUACAUGCACAACCAUUUCUGAAACCACAGACAACCCUAUUAUGGCCAUCACAUAAAAAGGUAUAAAUCCUUAUAGAGCAGUGAAAAAUAAUUGAAUUGAAUUGAACUGAAAUUUAUUUGACAAGUUUAUAAGCAAGUAUUCCAUACACUUUAGAAAACUGUCGAGGAUAAAAACACAAUAAAGCCCUUGGCUUGUUUCCAUUGCAGCCCUCGAUGUUAAUAUAAAGGUUAUGUGUACGUGCAGAAUAGACAGAAAAACUGUAUCUCCUAAUCAUAAUUAACCACAUCUAUAAAAAUCUAAUUUUUAUCAAUAUUGUAGAGAUAAUUCACCAAAAAUACAAAUCAAAACUGACAAUAAACAUCACACUAAAUCACCACAAAACACACUAACUACCCUCACCAAACAGCCAUCUUUUUUUUAAACUCAAAAAUUAUUUUACUCCCUUUAAUGAAACUGGUAAUUUAUUCCAUGAAAUAGCACUAGUAUAUAAAAAAUAAUUUUUCCCCACCAAACUCUUAAAUUUAAAUCAACAAAUAUUAAAAUCUCUACCCCUAGUUUUAUAUAAAUGCUGCUGACUCACAAUAUAAAAAUUAUUUUCUAAAUAACUUACAUUACUGACAAUUCUGUGUCAGACCCAUUUUUAAAAAUAUCUUAAAACUUUCACUGUGUAAAUGCGCCCUAGAAUGUACUUUUAAAAUUAUCAGAACCAAUUUAUUUUGAGCCUUUUGCAAUUUAUUCUUCAUAACUUGGGGACAACUAUUAUACCAAAAGGAGGAAGCAUGAUGAGAAUGUGAAUGAGUGAAUGUCUAAUAAACCGGCUUGCCAUGCUAAAAACUGCCUUUCUAGCCAUAAAAUCACCUGUUAAUUUUUAAUCUAUUAAACAGCCCAAAUAGUUUACUACAGAUGUUACCUCUGUGGCCUUACCAUUUAUCUUAACCAAAAAGGUAUCAUCCUUAUUUAAUUUAAUUUUAGAUGCAAAAAGAAUGGCCUCAGUCUUUCCUGCAUGUAGGGAUAGUUUAUUAUCUAAAAACCAUUUAGACAUCACCUCUAGCUGCAAAGUCUUCUUUUCUUUUAUGACCCCCUUAUCCUGAUGAGAUAUUAAAACCGCUGCAUCAUCUGCAUACAUAAUAAGUUCCUCUUAGCAUGCUGCUUUAAGAUCAUUUAUAUAUAAAAGAAAAAAAUAAGGGACCUAAAAGGAACUCCAGAGUUAAUAAAUAAAGGACUAGACAAAAUAGAGAAUUCUCAUCAAAACCAACUGCCUUUAAUUUGUACAGUAUAUAUCUUCCGUCUCCUGUGUUCCUGUACAUGACAGAAGGACUCCAUCAAAUCAGAUCCAGCGGUGUGGGAUCUUUUUUUUUUCUCUGUUCCCUAGCCAGCAUGGAGGAGCAGAGGAGAAGAUUCGGUAAAUUAACCACCCUCCGUCAAAGGGGGAAUGAGGUGGGUGGUGUAGCACUGGAGUUCUGGACGUUGGCGGUAGGAUUGGGGUACACUGAUGAGGCCCUGAUGAGGCCCUACACUGAUGAGGCCCUUAGGGUACACUGCCUGGAUGACCCUUUGCCUGGGGCGGAGAUGAAGGGGCUGGAGAUCCUGGACUUUUGGGGGUUCACCAGUUACCUACAACAUCAAUCUCAGUGGGAUACCUCACCCACACCUGUCUCUCCCGGUGGGUCUACAGACAGUAGGACCUCCAGCCCAGCACCACUGCACAAUAUGGCCACCAGCCCAGUGCCACAGCACAAGAUGACAGCCACAGUUGACCCUCCAGAGUCGGGUCAAGUCACCAUUGACCUUCCAGAGAAGGGUCAGGUCACCGAUGACCCUCCAGAGUCAGGUUAAGUCACCGUUGACCCUCCAGAGGCAGGUCAAGUCACCGUUGACACUCAUGAGUUAAGCAUUACCACAGUUAGACCUCAGGAGUCAAGUCAAGUAACCGGUGAUCUUCAAGGACAAAGGCAAGUCGCCAUUGAUCUUCAUGGGCAAAGGCAAGUCACCAAUGAUCUUCAUGGGCAAAGUCAAGUCACCAGUGUUCUUCAUGGGCAAAGUCAAGUCACCAAUGAUCUUCAUGGGCAAAGUCAAGUCACCAAUGAUCUUCAUGGGCAAAGUCAAGUCACCAGUGUUCUUCAUGGGCAAGGUCAAGUCAUCGACUAUCUUCAUGGGCAAAGGCAAGUCACCAUUGAUCUUCAGGAGCAAAUGCAAGUCACCAUUGAUCUUCAUGAGCAGACUCAGGUCACCAAUGAUCUUCAUGAGCAGAGUCAAGUCACCAUUGAUCUUCCUGAAUCCAGUCUAAACUCUGCGGAACUACAAGAGUCUCUACACGUCUCUGCUGAACUACCAGAGUCUCUCCACGUCUCUGCUGAACUACCAGAGCCUCUCCUCGUCUCUGCGGAACUUCCAGAGCCUUGUCACAUCUCAGCCGAACUCUCUGAGCACUCGACUGAUCCUGUCGUGGCCACGGGGGCCACCCUUAACUUGUUCAUGUUCUCUGUUUCAGACUGGCCUAUCCAGACUUGCUCUCCUGUGUCAUCGAUCCCACUGUGGUGGUCCUAGGCGCCGCCCUGGUGGGCCCCUGUCGCGACCGCACGGCUGUGGUGGUCUUCUGCGCUGCCCUAGUGGGCUUCUGUCUCAAAUGCACAGAUGUUUUGGUCUUCUGCGCCGCCCUGGUGCGCUUCUGUCUCGACCGCAUGGUUGUGGUGGUCUUCUGCGCUGCCCUGGUGGGCUUCUGUCUUGACCGCACGGAUGUGAUGGUCUUCUGUGCCGCUCUGGUGGGUUUCUGACUCAACCGCAUGGCUCCAAUUCCACCUUGCUCUACCCUGGAUUCCUGCCCUGUUGGUUCGGCCCUGGGCCUCAGAACUUUCUGUUCUCUCAUGGACUUAUGUUUUGUUGUUGUUUUGUUUUCAUUUUUUUUGGCACUUCCUGUCUCUGUUACCCUCUAUUACCUGGCUCUGCUUCCCUCCCACUGGUCCUCCGCCGGUCCACCUCCCUCCUGGUCUCUUUGUUUUUGCUUUUUUGCACUUGUCUCUGUUUCCCUAUAUUACCUGGCCCUCCAUCCCUCCCUCUGGUCCUCCGCCAGUCCACCUCCCUCCUGGUCUCUGUGUUCCUUAGUCUGUUCUUGGGUUCAGGUGGAGCAUCUGGUAGCUGGGGGUAAUGUCACGGUGUCUGGUCGCUGUUUCCCUGGGUGUCCACUAGUGGUCUCACUUCCCCAUAGGCACCUCACCUCAGGCACUAAAAUUCCCACAAGGCCGUGUCCCUUCAUCACAGUAAUUGCACUCCUGUUAAUUGCACUCAGGUGUUUUCACUUCAUAGUCAUUAACCUGCCUAUUUAAACCAGUCUGUUUCUGUUUGUUUCAUGGAGUCCUUACUUUCCGUCACCAAGUUUCCUCGCGAUCCUUGUGUUCAAGUUUCUUGUUCCCUGUUUGUUUGUUUUGGACUGAUGUUUGGUUAUGACCCCUGCUUGUUUGGUUUCUGAUUUUGGAUUACCAUAUUAAACUCACACUGCACUUGGA